GGGGAUAUUGACAAUGGGCGCAAGCCUGAUGCAGCCUGCCGCGUGUGUGAAGAAGGCCUUCGGGUUGUAAAGCACUUUCAGUCAGGAGGAAAGGUUAGUCGUUAAUACCGGCUAGCUGUGACGUUACUGACAGAAGAAGCACCGGCUAACUCCGUGCCAGCAGCCGCGGUAAUACGGAGGGUGCGAGCGUUAAUCGGAAUUACUGGGCGUAAAGCGUACGCAGGCGGUUUGUUAAGCGAGAUGUGAAAGCCCCGGGCUCAACCUGGGAACUGCAUUUCGAACUGGCAAACUAGAGUGUGAUAGAGGGUGGUAGAAUUUCAGGUGUAGCGGUGAAAUGCGUAGAGAUCUGAAGGAAUACCGAUGGCGAAGGCAGCCACCUGGGUCAACACUGACGCUCAUGUACGAAAGCGUGGGGAGCAAACAGGAUUAGAUACCCUGGUAGUCCACGCCGUAAACGAUGUCUACUAGAAGCUCGGAACCUCGGUUCUGUUUUUCAAAGCUAACGCAUUAAGUAGACCGCCUGGGGAGUACGGCCGCAAGGUUAAAACUCAAAUGAAUUUGACGGGGGCCCGCACAAGCGGUGGAGCAUGUGGUUUAAUUCGAUGCAACGCGAAGAACCUUACCUACACUUNACAUACAGAGAACUUACCAGAGAUGGUUUGGUGCCUCGGGAANUCUAACAGGUCG
rnacentral:rRNA from 1 species